UACGUAGGUGGCAAGCGUUGUCCGGAUUUACUGGGCGUAAAGAGCGCGCAGGCGGUCGUUCAAGUCGCGUGUGAAAGCCCCCGGCUCAACUGGGGAGGGUCACGCGAUACUGAUCGACUGGAAGGCAGGAGAGGGUAGUGGAAUUCCCGGUGUAGUGGUGAAAUGCGUAGAUAUCGGGAGGAACACCGGUGGCGAAGGCGGGUCUCUGGGCCGUAACUGGACGCUGAGGGGCGAAAGCGUGGGGAGCGAACAGG
rnacentral:rRNA from 1 species